GUUUAGUUAGCUUAGUUGGUAGUGCGUCUGCCUUGUAAGCGCUAGGCCGCGGGUUCGAUUCCCGCCCGGGGCG
rnacentral:tRNA from 1 species